rnacentral:rRNA from 1 species
GACGAACCGAGCGAACGUUGUUCGGAAUCACUGGGCUUAAAGGGCGCGUAGGCGGGCUGUCAAGUCUGGGGUGAAAUCCCGCGGCUCAACCGUGGAACUGCCUUAGAUACUGACGGCCUCGAGGGAGGUAGGGGCGAGCGGAACUCUCAGUGGAGCGGUGAAAUGCGUUGAUAUUGGGAGGAACUCCGGUGGCGAAGGCGGCAUCCUGGACCAUUACUGACGCUGAGGCGCGAAAGCUAGGGGAGCAAACGG